ensembl:lncRNA
UUUUGUCUUUACAAAUAGAGAUAUUUACAUGGAUGGGCGGCCAUUCAGAGUGAUCAUUCUGUAAUAUCUUUCUUUUGUCUCUAUAGAUAAAGAGAUAGUUGCAUUGCUGGGCGAACAUUAUCACCUGAUUUUGUGAGAAAUGACAUUUGCAGGAAACACCCACUUUUUGCAAACGUCUGCUGUAAUUGCUAACAUUUAAACAUUCAGCCUACAAUAAAUAAUAAGUCUAUUCAAUGAAAGUAAAGGUCAGUGUUUAAUCAAAAAUGUUAAAGAAAUGAAUGAAAUAAUAAUUUUAAAAAAUUGGUUGAUCAAUUUAGUUUAAUACAGGUUCUCAUAUUCAUGGCUUUAUUUUCCUGUAAGGUGACAAGUGAUAAUCUCAAAGUUUUCUGGAUUUCUUAUCAUUCUUAUAUGAUUACUUGCUCUUUUUU